rnacentral:rRNA from 1 species
CCUACGGGCGGCAGCAGUGGGGAAUAUUGCACAAUGGAGGGAACUCUGAUGCAGCGACGCCGCGUGAGUGAAGAAGUAAUUCGUAAUGUAAAGCUCUAUUAGUAGGGAAGAAAGUGACGGUAUCUGAAAAAUAAGCACCGGCUAACUACGUGCCAGCAGCCGCGGUAAUACGUAUGGAGCAAGCGUUAUCCGGAUUUACUGGGGGUAAAGGGAGAGUAGGUGGCAGAGCAAGUCCGAAGUGAAAACCCAAAGCUUAACCAUGGAAAUGCUUUAGAAACUGCUAAUCUAGAGUACAGGAGAGGCAAGUGGAAUUCUUGGUGUAGCGGUGAAAUGCGUAGAUAUUAAGAGGAACACCAAUGGCGAAGGCGGCUUGCUAGACUGUAACUGACACUGAGGCUCGAAAGCGUGGGGAGCAAACAGGAUUAGAUACCCCUGUAGUC